rnacentral:lncRNA from 1 species
AGAAUAGAUGUUUUUUCAUGCUGUUAUGACUUUGGUGUUCAAUCUGCUGUCUCUAUUGUCGUAGUGAGGAAUUCCGGAAGACCUUCAAAAAGGAAAAUCCAAAUGUCAAAGCCGUCUCAGCAGUAUGGACUUUAUUCUACUGUUACUAGUAAUGGUGAUUUAUAGUUUAUAGAUUUGAAAGUCAUGAAUUUUGGGUUCUUCCUGUGUGUGUAUGCUAUAGGUUGGAAAAGCUGGUGGAGAGAGGUGGAAAUCCUUGUCUGAAGCUGUAAGUGCUACUCGAUAUCUCAUCAUAUACCUAUGGUUUACUUUUUUUUCUCUCUGAAGUCGGUCAACGCACUUCUCUUUAUCUGGAAGCUGUUUACUUGGAUCAAGUAGUUUGACUUGGACCUUAGUUUAGUUAGGAGUCAUGGUCAUUUUUGUCAUGCAUAAAAACCUAACAGAUUUUGACAGCUCUGAUAUUGAUGCAAUUUGCAAAUAUGUUUAUGUUGAUGUUGGUUACUUACAGAAACAUAGUCUGCCCUUAAAUACUGAAACUGUAUGUCGCCUUCUGAUUGGCAGGAAAAAGCUCCGUAUGAAGCUAAAGCUGCAAAGAGGAAGGUUGAAUACGAGAAACUUAUGAAUGCUUACAACAAGAAGCAGGUGAACGGACCUUUUCUAUAUGCUCCCACGCUUAAUUUGAUCGUGAGAAUGAGCU